GACGAACGCUGGCGGCGUGCCUAAUACAUGCAAGUCGAACGCAGUGGGGACGGGUGAGUAACACGUGGGUAACCUCCCAUCAGAGGGGAUAACACUUGGAAACAGGUGCUAAACCGCUACUGAUGGAUGGACCCGGGGUGGAUUAGCUAGUUGGUGAGGUAACGGCUCACCAAGGCCACGAUGCCUAGCCGAGCUGAGAGGGUGAUCGGCCACACUGGGACUGAGACACGGCCCAGACUCCUACGGGAGGCAGCAGUGGGGAAUCUUGGGCAAUGGGCGAAAGUCUGACCGAGCAACGCCGCGUGAAUGAAGAAGGUUUUCGGGUCGUAAAACUCUGUUGUUGGAGAAGCGGUAUCUAACCAGAAAGCAACGGCUAACUCCGUGCCAGCCGCCGCGGUAAUUC
rnacentral:rRNA from 1 species